CACACUGUGCCUAUAAAAGUACAUCCCCUCUUCUUUACUCAUCUGCUCUGCCUUUCAUUUAGAAGUAAACGGCCAAAACACUUACUUCUUCCUACCAUUGCCUUUCUAUCUUGCCCUAACCUUGCAUAUUGCAUAACCUUCCCAUGGUUUGCCAUUGCCUUUGCUUGGUCCUUAGUAGUUAGGAAGCUCUUCAUUGAUCAUCCAUGGUUACUUUUUUGUUUUGGUGGGAUAUAGUGGGAUACUAGUGGUACAAUUCUCAACAUCUCAACCCAUCAAUCACACCCCCAACUAACAAUCACAGUUUCUUCUUAUCUCCCAUUUCUGUCUAUAUGUUUUGUGGUUUAUUUAUGUAUUUAUUUGAUUGCUUUUGUAGUUCUGAGUUGCUUUUAUUUGAUAUUUUAGGAUCUUGACCUUAGUAAGGCUUAGUUUAAAGGUUGCAAGGCUCGUGAAUGUAGAUACUGCUCUUUCAAGUUAUGUAGUGGUCAAAUUAUGUAAACUACCUGAGCUUAUAUUAAUUAUUUUGGAAAAGAAGCAGCAAUCAGGUAUAGGCGGAAUCGGAAAAUAAGGGCUCGGUGGAUUGUGCUUGGAACUCGACAUGCAUAUGGACUCAGUGAGACUUGUCCUUUAAAAGGGUUAGUUGUCUUUGUGGAUUGUGCCCCAUCCUUUGAGCGCAGUUUUUGAAUGUGCAUGAGAGACAGGAACAAUCCUGUAAUGUAUUGCUAACAGAACGCACUAACUUUCACUAGCGAAAGCAAUAUCGUAAAGCUCCUCUACCAAAAGGUUUAAGGACAAGGCUGCUGUAAUUAGCACCCUCAAAUUUCAGGCACACCAAAGAAUAAGAAAUUGUGCCUUAGGCUGCUACAGCUUUGUCCUCCAACUCCAUGAUCAGAUCCAAGGUCUUGACAAACUUCGCUGGCAUGUCACCUUCACUGGUGCUCAACAUUUGUCCAAAAUUUUCAUCGCCAUCGCCAUCGCCAUCGCCGUCGCUAUGGUGGCUUCUUUGCUGACCUGGCACCUACAUAUUACUCCAUGUAUGCUCCUCUUUUACCACAUACAGUCACCUAAUUAUGUGCCAUGGUCAGGUUAGGAUCUUCUGUUGUGGCAUCAACAGUAGCAGCCGACCAGGGCCGUCAAUGCCGACACGCUCCACUUUGGUGGAAUCUGCAUCGAUCUUUGUAAGAAGACCUGAAAGAAGAGUACAAUAGUGUAAAAAUGAAAUUUUGUCACAUUCCAUUAAAAGAAGAAAUUGAUCAUGUUGUUAGUUGAGGAUUUACUCCAUUAUAUCACUUAUAGUUUUUCUGAUAUGUAGUUAUGUACCAAUCUCUGAGAGGAAUCUUUGUAUGAAUGAAAGAACUGAAAGAAGA
rnacentral:lncRNA from 1 species